rnacentral:rRNA from 1 species
AUACGUAGGUGGCGAGCGUUGUCCGGAAUUACUGGGCGUAAAGGGUGCGCAGGCGGAAACUUAAGUCAGAUGUGAAAUACCCGGGCUUAACCUGGGAAUGGCAUUUGAAACUGGGUUUCUAGAGUGCAGGAGAGGAAAGCGGAAUUCCUAGUGUAGCGGUGAAAUGCGUAGAUAUUAGGAAGAACACCAGUGGCGAAGGCGGCUUUCUGGACUGUAACUGACGCUGAGGCACGAAAGCGUGGGGAGCAAACAGGAUUAGAUACCCUGGUAGUCCACGCUGUAAACGAUGAGUGCUAGGUGUGGGGGGUUUCGACACUCUCUGUGCCGCAGUAAACGCAAUAAGCACUCCGCCUGGGGAGUACGGUCGCAAGACUAAA